GCUGGCUGGGAUUCAGCCCCGAACGGCGGUUAAGACAUCAAGGCAACAAAAGGGAGCGAUGAAAAGGAAUAACAGGAGGAGUCACAGCCGGGGUUUGGCUAUUCAGGGGCCGUCUAUCAACUCACCCGAAUACGCCGGCCGGAAUGUAUCGGCUCCCUCUGCAACCCGAACGGCGCUUAUCUCCGCUGAAACUAGUGGAGGAGGAGUAAGAAUUUGUAGAGCGUCCCUAAGAGGAAGCAAAGCACUUUGGGAAAUGUAGUGUUUGGCGUGGUCGGUUGGCGUCUUUCGUGAGCUGUGAAGAGCGCGCGAUCUGAGUCAGCCCAGAGAUCGGAGGGCGCUAGCGGGGUCUGCGUAAGUUGCUUUUUCAUGAAUGCCACUACCGCGCCCGUGGAGCGGCGGCAUUCUUUCGUUCCUAACGCAAAAGGAGCUAAAAGAAUGUCAAAAUAAGCGACUCUUAGAGCGCAGCUGUUGUAUUCUGUCUAGUUGUUUGCUUGUUUUGCAAUUUGUCUGUUUGGACAUCUGCCCCAGUAGGGUAUCCUGUGGGAAAGUGUUACCUGAGCAAAUGACCAUCGACACGGAUAGUGAAAGAGACAAAGGUUUAUUUCUCAGCGCUGAGGAUGACCCCCGGUGCCUCUUGGCGAAAAUCCAGGGAGCGUGCCUCUUACAGACUAACAAGAGUUUAUAAAGAUUUUUCUCCACCCCUUGGUAUCAACAUUUAGCCAAUCAUGGUAUAGAAAAGUUCACAUACUUUCAGGAAAGUUCCACUCCAUAUUUGGUAAUACAUUCGUUUUCGCAUAGCAGUCUUAUCUACCCUACAAUACAAUACACACAGCAGAAUAUGCAGAGCUCAACACAAUGUCUAACAGCUACUUCAAACAAGGAGAUAAGGUCCUCAAGUAUCAAGGAUCCGCUCACAGCAAACACAGCAGGCAAAGCUGAGUUACUGAGUUACAAAUAACAACUUGCAAAUAUAAUAUCCUCUUUUCUGAUCAUGCCACACAUGUCACAAAAGGAGGAGUCAAAGGAGGCGGCGGCGCCUUGUUUGCUGAAUAAACAAAGAGGUUUAAAUAAACUAACUAGAAGUUUAUUUGCUGCAUGAACCUCUAGUGAAAUGAGAUUUCCAUGUGUAUGAGGAAAGCAGCUAUAAAAACAGCAGCCCUAAGUGUAGGUACUUGGGAGGAGUGUUUUGUGUGUGUGCAAUAAAUGAGUUUUCCAAUUACGUAUCUUUAGGAUUGUGUUAUUAUGAAACAGAAACAAACACUAGGGAUUCAUCUUGUGUCAGUCUACAUUUUGACUUAACGUUGUUUGUUUUUUAAUUAAUUUUUGCGUUUUCUGCAAAAGACAUGGAAUAUUAAGUGUUACACAAUACCAGAUUUCUGAACGGGGUGGGUGGAUGGGGAGGAACUGUAUUUCCAAUUAUUUUUUUAACAGCAUUCAACAAUAUUUGUCUAAACUCACCAAUUUUUCUGGCUCUGCUACUGUAUUUUUAACAUCCAGAUAUACAAACACUUGAGAUAAUGGGGUGGGGGUCUUUAAACACUACAUUUCUGACAGUUAGGUUGCAGUUGCAAUUAAAAGCAAGUUUUAACAACAAAAAGCUUUUCUUACACAGACAGGCCCACACUGUCUGAUUCACCCUCUCUCUCUUUAACUGAGCUCUCCAAUGAAAGAAACACAUUUACCUCACAUUUUAAACCACAUUUUAAAAAACACCAGACUAGUAGCCAUCAAUAGACCUCUCCUCCAUUAAUUUGUCUAAGCUUUUAAAGCCAUCCAAACUAGUGGCUAUCACCAUAUCCCAUGGCAAGAAAUUCCAUAGGUUAAUUAUGCGCUGUGCCUGUGUGAAAAAUUACUUUCUUUUGUCAGUCCUAAAUUUCCUGACCUCCAGUUUAAUGGGAUGACCCUGUUACCGAAAACUGGGUUUGAGCCUGGCGUGCAAGCCAAUAACAUCACCAAAACAGAAAUCAUUCAAAGCUUUAUUUCUCUGCGCAGAGAAUAGGCACUUUGGGAAUAGAUUCACAAAGCAAAGCGCCCUGAGCAAAAACAGCUCAGGGAUUUUAUACAGUUUGUCACACAUUACAGCAUUAUUGCAACAACAAACAUGACAGGUAGUUGCUGCCUGAUUUACCUUGUUAACAUCAGCAACUUCAGAGGCUUGAGUUUGAAGUAUCGGGGUACCCCUGACCCCAAUAGGGGAGGUUCGUUCCUGGGCGGAUGGAGCCCACUAAUCAGCCCACACGAGAGGACUUAAGAUCAAAGUUUUAUUUGCCCUUAAGUAGCAAAGGUGCUGCUCGGCUCGCGCUCAAAGCAGGACAGAGGCCUGAUACAGAAGCAAUGAUAACGAAUUGUUUAAUCCAGGCCUACAAAUAAGUACUGUAUAUAAAAGUGUGUAUCGAAGUAUAACUCAAAAGUUUGGUUCAUAUCCCUAAUGGAAUAUAAAGCUAGCAGGUUAUUCAGAGUUGAGAAGCCUCUCGGUAACAGAGGCCAAAGUCAAGAGCGGGAGGCCCCCUCUCAAGAAUGUGGGUUGAGAAGCCCACCAGAGAUAACAGGUACCAGGAGUGGUCAAACACAGGCCAUUAGCUAAAUUCCUCAGUCAGCAGAAAGAGGGUUUUGCUGGUACGGAGAGAUACCAUAAUUGUCGUAAAAGCCAGGUAGUAACUCAUCUUCUCAGGCUGUAGAUGACACCUCUGAAAUAUGUAAGUUUAAUAACUAAUAACGUGUAUUAAUCGCUUUGUUGAUAUGCUUGUAUGUUUGAGACCUAUAAAAAUGAGCCAACUGCAUGGCUCGUGUGUGCAGUAUCAGCCAGAUGCUCUCUGAUGAUACUCGUGCCUUUCAUGACAUGAAAUAAAAGCUUUUUUGAGCAACGCA